GCUAUGCCCUAAAUUGGGCCAGGCUGAGGCGCUGCUGCUCGAGCGGCCGAUCCGAGACGUGGCUGCCUGGGCGGAAGAACCAUGUUGGACUUCGCGAUCUUCGCCGUUACCUUCUUGCUGGCGUUGGUGGGAGCGGUGCUCUACCUCUACCCGCGGACCCUUUUGAAACCAUGCUGAAGUCAUUAUUAAGGUAUCAAUCUGGUGGUGGCAGUGUGAGUGAAAACCACAUGAGGAAAAAAUUGUAUGAAAAUGGUGUGACUAAUUCUCUGAAGAGUAACUUUGCCCUCCUCCUAAAGCUUUCAGAAGAAUUAUUAGAUAAAUGGCUCUCCUACCCAGAGACCCAGCACGUGCCCCUCAGCCAGCAUAUGCUUGGUUUUGCUAUGAAGUCUGUUACACAGAUGGUAAUGGGUAGUACAUUUGAAGAUGAUCAGGAAGUCAUUCGCUUCCAGAAGAAUCAUGGCACAGUUUGGUCUGAGAUUGGAAAAGGCUUUCUAGAUGGGUCACUUGAUAAAAAUACAACUCGGAAAAAACAAUAUGAAGAUGCCCUCAUGCAACUGGAGUCUGUUUUAAGGAACAUCAUAAAAGAACGAAAAGGAAGGAACUUCAGUCAAUAUAUUUUCAUUGACUCCUUAGUACAAGGGAACCUUAAUGACCAGCAGAUCCUAGAAGACAGUAUGAUAUUUUCUCUGGCCAGUUGCAUAAUAACUGCAAAAUUGUGUACCUGGGCAAUCUGUUUUUUAACCACCUCUGAAGAAGUUCAAAAAAAAUUAUAUGAAGAGAUAAACCAAGUUUUUGGAAAUGGUCCUGUUACUCCAGAGAAAAUUGAGCAGCUCAGAUAUUGUCAGCAUGUGCUUUGUGAAACUGUUCGAACUGCCAAACUGACUCCAGUUUCUGCCCAGCUUCAAGAUAUUGAAGGAAAAAUUGACCAAUUUAUUAUUCCUAGAGAGACCCUUGUCCUUUAUGCCCUUGGUGUGGUACUUCAGGAUCCUAAUACUUGGCCAUCUCCACACAAGUUUGAUCCAGAUCGGUUUGAUGAUGAAUUAGUAAUGAAAACAUUUUCCUCACUUGGAUUCUCAGGCACACAGGAGUGUCCAGAGUUGAGGUUUGCAUAUAUGGUGACCUCAGUACUUCUUAGUGUAUUGGUGAAGAGACUGCACCUACUUUCUGUGGAGGGACAAGUUAUUGAAACAAAGUAUGAACUGGUAACAUCAUCAAGGGAAGAAGCUUGGAUCACUGUCUCAAAGAGAUAUUAAAAUUUUAUACAUUUAAAAUCAUUGUUAAAUUGAUUGAGGAAAACGACCAUUUAAAAAAAUCUGUGUUGAAUCCUUUUAUAAACCAGUAUCACUUUGUAAUGUAAA
rnacentral:sRNA from 1 species